rnacentral:ncRNA from 2 species
AAAUAAAAGUUGGGGUGCCACGAGCUGAGAUUAUACCCAUUGAACCUGAUAUAGUUCGCACUAUCGCAGGAAACUUUCUUUAAUUAGCC